AAAAUCAUUUAUCGUCCACAUGAAAGCUGCUCGCAUUUGGAAUAUCUCCUUAGUAGAGGCAUCGUACGUUUCUACACCAACAUCCCAUAAUUCAUUUAACUCUUCUAUUAGAGGUUGCAAAAAGACAUCAAUAUUAUUUUCAGGCGCUUUUGGUCCAGGAAUAAGUAAGGACAGAGUGAAAAACUCUUGUUUCAUGCACAUCCAUGGUGGAAGAUUAUAUGGCAUUAAAAUCAC
rnacentral:lncRNA from 1 species